rnacentral:lncRNA from 1 species
GAUCUAGAGCACUUAGACUCAGCAACUGAAGAAUGAGUAGGAGUCUUUCAGAAGUCCAAUGAAAAUGUCAAGGCUCCUGGAAAAUUCCUCAUGCCCAGUGACUUUCUACUUACUCAGCUAAAACUCAGGAUUUUGUUGAAGAAAGGGAAAAUCGUAUUGUCAGACUCAAAAAUGUUGCCGUCUUAAUUCCACAUUUAAUGUGGUUUUGGUGAGUACUUUCUUUGAGCAAUCUUAAAUUCAAGUCAAUCUCAUUAACUGAUGAGAUUAUCAUGUGCCAAUCACUCUGCUAAAUCCUGAGGACAAAAAGUUUAAUAAGACCUGCCUCAUUCAAUGAUAACUUGACAAUCUGGAGAGGAAAAAUGAACACACGUAACUGAAAUCAAAUGUAAGUGUUAGAGUAUAUAAAAAAUGCCCUAGUUUAAACCUCAUUGUCUCUCAUCUGGAAAACUGCUAAAGUGUAAUG